rnacentral:antisense_RNA from 1 species
AAAAGUUAUUAGUGAUGAGAGAAUAUUUUUUAUUUGGUUAAUUUUCAGCGUUAUUGGGUUAUAAUAGGUGAAUGUUGAGAUAUAAAGAAUGAUUUGAGUAGAAUGGAGAAUAGGUCUAUGGAUUUUGAUUAGACUGAAUUAAGCUUUUUAGAUUCAUUUUUUUAUAAGGCAAAGAAUAAAAUAAAAAUGUAGUAUUUGGCGGGAGACUGAUUGAGUAGGUAUUUAAAGUAGAAAUAAUGGUUAGAAAACUACAAUUACAAAGAAUAAGAAUAGUGAAAAUAUCCAAAUGCAAAUUUUCAAGCAAACAAACGAGGUAAUACACGUUAAAUAUUUAUAUGUAGUGGAUUUCUCGUAGUAAGUUUGAUACUUUUUAUUGGGUAAAAUGGCAAAAUGGCGUGAUUACUUAUAUCGUAGGGGAUCAGAUAAGUAAAAAGCGCGGAUUAUAAUUUCAUCUUGAGAAAUCUAAAAGCAUACCACUAGAUUUAAGGAUUAGUAAUAUCUUCUGUAGUUAUUUUAGGUUUAAUUUCGGUACCAAGGAUCUGAGAAAGCUGUUCUGCUGUUUUCUUAGUGAAGUUAGCAUUAGGUAUUUGGCUAAGCCAUGGGAGUUUUGUGAGAUCAAAUCUAGGUGGGAUCUCAAUGGAAAUUCCAGAAAUAUAUUCAGGGGGUAUUAUAGCGUGGAUAUUAGGAAAUUUCUGAUCUAGCUCAUUCAUUGGGUAAAAUCUGAAGGGGUAAAAGUUUUCGGUUAAGUUAGGACAUUUGCCUCCAUAUGACUCUUCAAGUUGUUCAAGAGGAACCAAACUAGUAAUUUCAUCAGAAUAGGAUUCAUCAAUAAAUCUAAUCUUUCUAACUGAUGAUCCUGGAAUUGCAGCAACAAGAGCGUUACUAACAACAUUUAUAAACUUUGGACAGUUCACAAUGAACAUUCUAUAAAGUCUCAUUCUAUAACGUGUAUUAACAAGUGAAAGAACAGACUUUAGGACUUGAAUAGGGAGAUCAGUUAUCCCUUUUCCAGCCAAGUCAAUGAUUACAUUCCAGUUUUCAACUCUUCCUGCAACCUGAAGGUAUUUAAGAAAGAAUUCUAGACAAAAACACAAUAGCUUUUGGAUUCGUUCGAUUUCACCAACAAAAGUAUCAAGCUUUGCAAGCUUCACAAUAAGUAUUGGCCUACACUUAAUAUCCUUACCGUGCCAAUAAAUAGCUCCAACUUUAAGAUCAUUCAUCACAUCUUUCUCACUUAUUGGUAGCUCCUUGAUUCUAAAUUCAUGGUUACUUAACAUCAUCUCCAAAGCCGUUUGGACAUGAAAACGGGAAGAGGCCAAAAAUCUCAAUGCCUGAAUCCAAAUAGAGUGAGGAAACUUGUAGCCGUGGUUCUUAGCAUAUUUUCUUAACUUUGCUAGAUAAAGUUGUUCGUUUUCUGAAAGAAUCUGGUUUAAAUAAAUAUAUCUUAUUUCAUCUUCUAUUAUAUCACUUUCUGAUGGCUCAAUUAACAAGCAACUUAAAGUGGUCGAAAAUGGGUUUAAAGCGGAAUAUAUUUCUACUCCUCCAAUAUUUCUCUGAAUUGGUUUAGCAUUUCCAGAAUUAGUCAUGGAAGUGCUCUUUGUUAUUUCAAGAUUCCCAACAGUUUCUUGAAGCUGAGGCAAACUAUUCAUCUUUCUGUCAAGAAAUGCCCUAGAAGAAACUGGAUCAAGCUCCUCAACAAGCUCCAUAUCAGACUCCUCCAAUGCAGAUGUAAAAGAUACACUCUCUGACUCUGAGUGAGACUUUUCUAAAAUCGAGGUAUCCUUAAAGGCGUCUAUAAUCUCAGAAAUACGCUCCUCCUCUUUGCUUAAACAAGGUCCUAACACUUCACCAGAAUCUUGGUCUGCCAUUUUGCUUAUUUUAACCACUUCUAUUAAUUUUGUCAGGCAAAAUUCUGUAUUGCUUUUUCUUUCCGUGUGAAAACGCUCACAAGAUUGUUUGGCGCCUUUUGUUUUGACAUAAAGUGAGCUUUCUAUAAAAUAGGUUGCAAAAAAAAAAAUCCGUC